UACGGGGGGGGUAAGCGUUGUUCGGAAUUACUGGGCGUAAAGGGUUCGUAGGUGGCCUACUAAGUCAGACGUGAAAUCCCUCAGCUUAACUGGGGAACUGCGUCUGAUACUGGGGGGCUUGAGGACAGGAGAGGAACGCGGAAUUCCAGGUGUAGCGGUGAAAUGCGUAGAUAUCUGGAGGAACACCGGUGGCGAAGGCGGCGUUCUGGACUGUUUCUGACACUGAGGAACGAAAGCCAGGGGAGCAAACGGG
rnacentral:rRNA from 1 species